AGCAGUCGCCGCGGGAAUACGUAGGUGGCAAGCGUUGUCCGGAAUUAUUGGGCGUAAAGGGCUCGCAGGCGGUUUCUUAAGUCUGAUGUGAAAGCCCCCGGCUCAACCGGGGAGGGUCAUUGGAAACUGGGAAACUUGAGUGCAGAAGAGGAGAGUGGAAUUCCACGUGUAGCGGUGAAAUGCGUAGAGAUGUGGAGGAACACCAGUGGCGAAGGCGACCCUCUGGUCUGUAACUGACGCUGAGGAGCGAAAGCGUGGGGAGCGAACAGGAUUAGAUACCCCCGUAGUCCCUGUCUCUUAUAC
rnacentral:rRNA from 1 species